rnacentral:rRNA from 1 species
GACGAACGCUGGCGGCGUGCUUAACACAUGCAAGUCGAACGGUAAGGCCCUUCGGGGUACACGAGUGGCGAACGGGUGAGUAACACGUGGGUGAUCUGCCCUGCACUUCGGGAUAAGCCUGGGAAACUGGGUCUAAUACCGGAUAGGACCACUGCCUGCAUGGGUGGUGGGGGAAAGCUUUUGCGGUGUGGGAUGGGCCCGCGGCCUAUCAGCUUGUUGGUGGGGUGAUGGCCUACCAAGGCGACGACGGUUAGCCGGCCUGGGAGGGUGGCCGGCCAGACUGGGACUGGGAUACGGCCCAGCUUCCGACGGGAGGCAGCAGUGGGGAGUAUUGCACAAUGGGCGCAAGCCUGAUGCAGCGACGCCGCGUGAGGGAUGACGGCCUUCGGGUUGUAAACCUCUUUCAGCACCGACGAAGCGCAAGUGACGGUAGGUGCAGAAGAAGGACCGGCCAACUACGUGCCAGCCGCCGCGGUAA